UACGAAGGGGGCAAGCGUUGUUCGGAAUUACUGGGCGUAAAGGGCGCGUAGGCGGUGCUCUAAGUCAGGCGUGAAAGCCCUGGGCUCAACCCUGGGAUGCCGGUGGAUACUGUCGGGCUCGAGUCCGGAAGAGGCGAGUGGAAUUCCUGGUGUAGCGGUGAAAUGCGCAGAUAUCAGGAGGAACACCAAUGGCGAAGGCAGCUCGCUGGGACGUGACUGACGCUGAGACGCGAAAGCGUGGGGAGCAAACAGG
rnacentral:rRNA from 1 species